ensembl:lncRNA
AUGAUGUUGAUGCUAUUUUAUCUAAACAAGAUGACGGCGUGUCCACACACAGCAGCUUCUCUCGCUCACGUCAGAAUGGUGUUUUCGUGUUUUUUGUCUUGUGAGUUGCAGUGUUUUUGUACGUCUUCAUCACGUCUACCUGUCUUUAAGGGCGCAUACAGUCGUGAGUUUAUGCUCGAUGUCGGAAGAACAACUUUUUUAGAGUUAAACUCCACGCACGCCGAAGAAGGAGGUAAAUCACAAGGCGGCGGGCUUUAUGUUUACAUCAAUGAUGCGUGGUGCUGUGAUUCUGUUGUGGUCUGCAAACACUGCUCACCCCUGGUGGAGUUUGUGAUUAUUAAGUGCGGGCCAUUCUAUCUACCGAGGGAAUAUACAGCCAUGCUGCUUGUUGCUGUUUACAUUCCUCCCUGCUCCAACAUCAACAACAGGAGUGAGGCAAUGAAUGAAAUUUACCAGCACAUCAGUGAGCAGCAGACAGCCCACCCUGAUGCUUUUCUCACCUUGGCUGGGGAUUUCAACCACGCAGACUUAAAGAGUGUGUUCCCAAAAAUACACCAACACAUUAACUUUCCAACAAGAGGUAAAAACAUUUUGGAUUUUGUUUACACCACCCAGAAAGGAGCUUACAAAGCACUCCCCCUCCCCCACCUUGGUGCCUCAGACCAUAUCACUGUCAUGCUAAUGCCUGCAUACAGACCACUCAUUAAAGUCACCAAACCAGUUCACAAACAGAUACAAGUGUGGCCUGAAGGGUCAUCAGAGGCUCUUCAAGACUGUUUAGACACCACUGACUGGAAUAUGUUUAAGCAGGCUGCCACAUACAAUAACUCGACAGACCUCCAAGAGUACUCAGAGACUGUCACUGCCUACAUCACCAAGUGUAUUGAUGAUGUAACAGUCACAAAGACCAUCACUGUCUGGGCCAACCAGAAGCCAUGGAUGACAGGGGAGGUCAACAGACUCCUGAAGAUGCGGAACGCUGCCUUCAGAGCUGGAGAUGAGGGAGCCUGA